UCUGGUGGCGAUAGCGAAGAGGUCACACCCGUUCCCAUACCGAACACGGAAGUUAAGCUCUUCAGCGCCGAUGGUAGUUGGGGGUCUCCCCCUGUGAGAGUAGGACGCCGCCAAGC
rnacentral:rRNA from 1 species